rfam:Capsella rubella cultivar Monte Gargano unplaced genomic scaffold scaffold_2, whole genome shotgun sequence.
AACCCAUGAUGAGGACGAUGUGAUUGGUAUCCUUUGAAGUGUUCCCAAGCCUCACAAAAGGGUUCUCCAUUCGUUUGGCAAAAACCAGAUAUUUCAUUCGUGAAGCG